rnacentral:rRNA from 1 species
GGAUAACUGUGGUAAUUCUAGAGCUAAUACAUGCACCUGAGCUCCGAACCCUCCCGCGUUGACUCGAGAGUCGCGAGGUUGGGGGAAGAGCGCUUUUAUUAGAUCCGAAAUUAAACCAACCAGACUUCGGUCUGUCAAAUCCAAAAAUGAAUCGGAUGAGUCCGAAUAACUUAGCCGAGCGCUACGGUCAUCGCACCGGCGCCGUAUCUUUCGAGUGUCUGCCUUAUCAGCUCUCGAUUGUAGGUUAUACGCCUACAAUGGCUGUAACGGGUAACGGGGAAUCAGGGUUCGAUUCCGGAGAGGGAGCCUGAGAAACGGCUACCACAUCUAAGGAAGGCAGCAGGCACGCAAAUUACCCACUCCCGGCACGGGGAGGUAGUGACGAAAAAUAACGAUGUGGGACUCUUCCGAGGCCCCGCAAUCGGAAUGAGUCCAACUUAAAUCCUUGGACGAGGAUCCAUUGGAGGGCAAGUCUGGUGCCAGCAGCCGCGGUAAUUCCAGCUCCAAUAGCAUAUAUUAAAGUUGCUGCGGUUAAAAAGCUCGUAGUUGGAUCUUGGAUCCGGACCGGCGGCCCACCUAAGAUGCGCCCCCGCCAACAUGGGACGGAGCCGAGCCGUCGCGAAUCUUUGCCUCGCGCACCUCGUUGGUAUUCCUCUGCAGCUCUGGAAAUAGGACGUCAGUCCUUCUCUUGGGAUGCGGAGUUCUUACGCCUUCGAGGUCAGCGCGAGUGCCAGAGGUCGCGGCAGAGUCUUCGUGCUGACGUCUCGGCGGGUUAGCGCAUCCGGUUGGAUUACCGACCGGCUCUGGAUUGCAAACACAGUCGGAUCACAUGGGGUGCUCUUCACCGAGUGUCCCGCGUGGCCGACAAUUUCACUUUGAAAAAAUUAGAGUGCUCAGUGCAGGCAUGAAUCCAAUGCCUGAAUGGUGUUGCAUGGAAUGAUGGAACAGGACCUCGGUUCCGGACCUUUUGUUGGUUUUCGGAACCCGAGGUAAUGAUUAAAGGAGACGGACGGGGGCAUUCGUAUUGCGACGCUAGAGGUGAAAUUCUUGGACCGUCGCACGACGAACUACUGCGAAAGCAUUUGCCAAGGAUGUUUUCGUUAAUCAAGAACGAAAGUUAGAGGAUCGAAGGCGAUCAGAUACCGCCCUAGUUCUAACCGUAAACUAUGCUGACCGGCUUUCCGCCGACGACAUUCCCACGUCUCGGCGGGUAUCCCCCGGGAAACCAGAGUUUCUGAGUUCCGGGGGAAGUAUGGUUGCAAAGCUGAAACUUAAAGGAAUUGACGGAAGGGCACCACCAGGAGUGGAGCCUGCGGCUUAAUUUGACUCAACACGGGGAAACUCACCAGGCCCAGACACCGGAAGGAUUGACAGAUUGAGAGCUCUUUCUCGAUUCGGUGGGUGGUGGUGCAUGGCCGUUCUUAGUUGGUGGAGCGAUCUGUCUGGUUAAUUCCGAUAACGAACGAGACUCUAUCUUGCUAACUAGUCGGCGGAUCGUCUCCCGAGGUCGAUGGGUUCUUCGACCGUAGUUCCGGGCCCUCCGGGCACCUGGAUUGGACGUUCGUCCGCCUCAAUUCUUUUCCCUCCCCCUCUUCGGCGACAGCCCCUCGCGGGGUUGCCGUCGGAGCAGGGAUGAGAACCGAAGCGGGGUGGGUGUGUCGCUCAUACUGGGGCCUUGAGUCUCCCGGGCUCGGUCGUUCCCCACGGCUCGUUCGGGGCGUCCGUCGUAACUUCUUCUUAGAGGGAUCGGCGGCGGCCAGCCGCACGAGAUCGAGCAAUAACAGGUCUGUGAUGCCCUUAGAUGUUCUGGGCCGCACGCGCGCUACAAUGGAGGGAUCAGCGUGCGCCCCACUCCGAGAGGAGGGGGUAACCGCUUCAAAUCCGUUCUCAAUUGGGAUUGGGGCUUGUAAAUGUUUCCCAUGAACGAGGAAUUCCCAGUAAGCGCGANUCACCACCUCGCGCUGAUUAAGUCCCUGCCCUUUGUACACACCGCCCGUCGCUACUACCGAUUGAAUGAUUCAGUGAGGACAUUGGACUGGCGCCCGCGGCACGGUCACUGGCAUGUCCGCUAACGUCUCCUUGAGAGGCGGGACUGCUUUUGGCACCCGUGGGCUGACGGAAAGAUGUCCGAACUUGAUUAUUUAGA